rnacentral:rRNA from 1 species
CAGUCGCCACGGUAAUACGUAGGUCCCGAGCGUCGUCCGGAUUUAUUGGGCGUAAAGCGAGCGCAGGCGGUUAGAUAAGUCUGAAGUUAAAGGCUGUGGCUUAACCAUAGUAUGCUUUGGAAACUGUUUAACUUGAGUGCAGAAGGGGAGAGUGGAAUUCCAUGUGUAGCGGUGAAAUGCGUAGAUAUAUGGAGGAACACCGGUGGCGAAAGCGGCUCUCUGGUCUGUAACUGACGCUGAGGCUCGAAAGCGUGGGGAGCAAACGGGAUUAGAGACCCGCGUAGUCCCUGUCUCUUAUACA